CGCAUGCGUUUAUACGGUUCUGAAUAACAGUAGUCACAAAUUGAAAAAUCGAAUAUUUUCCCAUAAGCACUCUGCUUAAAACAUCGUACAUUGUUUUUAUUUCAAUGUUUUAUCUAUUAAACCUCUCUGUAUCAGAAUGAAAGUCAAAGAAAAUCAAUGUUUUACCUAGACUUAUUAUUUAUGAAAUAAGCGAUGUUUAUCAACAAAGUUAACAAUAUAUUGAAAUUAUUGCAUUUAAUAUUUACAGGUUUUCAGCACUUCAUACCAGAGCGAUUUCAUCUUAAAAGAUGUGAAGAGUUCCACUGUUGGUGGUAUAGUAGGAGCUAUGUUCAUCGUGAUUAUAAUGGCAGGUCUUUUAGAGGGAUUUAAACACUGGCUGUACAUUCGACAGAAAAAGAUCAGACCACACUCAAGUUAAAGAUAAAUGAAGGCAUUUCACUUCCACUUCAGUUUUCGUAUAACUGCUGCCCUACACAAUAUGUUAUCGAUGACCGUUGGCUACCUUCUGAUGCUAUGUGUAAUGACACUGAACAUGUGGAUGCUGGUUUAUGUCAUAGUUGGCGCUGGAAUAGACUACUUACUUCCACGCCUAGCUGUAAGCGCCUGCUAUACAACAAGUAGGACCAAGAACUAUUGCAAUGAAAUAGGGAAACAUGAGGAAAUGAGUUUUGUAAAAUAUUGAAAGGACACACAUUGACAACGAUUACCUUGUCCUGAAGUGUUUUAACAAAUGUCAGUAUUAAAGACAAACGAGAGCAGUGAAAAAUAUUGAAAUCUGUCCUCUGCUAUCAAGUUACAUAAACAUGUUCAGUUUGGUUAAAGAUAUAUUUGUUGUUAUUUUGUUACACAUGAUAUGAAUGGUUUGUACGUACAUUUAAACAUCGUUAAUCUGAAAUCCUCGGGACCAAGAUAAAAAAAUGAAAUAACGCUAUUUUGGAGGUUACAAUUUUGACAAAAUCACAGCGUUUACGAAUUAUUGAUAACGUAAAAUAGUAAGUCGUGAAGAUUACAAUGUCGGUUACGAGUUACCAACAUGUUGCAUGUGGUUUGAAUAAUAGUUAGUGUAGAGGUUUGUCGAAUUAUUUUUUAAGAAAGGACAACUAAUUUGUUAUUAUAAUUCCUUGAUACUUUUUUAUUAACAUUUCACUUUAAUUUUUGUAUUAUCAACAGAAAAUUGCUAUUUGAUUUCCUCGUGUUUUUUGUUUUGUUUUUUUCAAACUUAUUCCUUAAUGUCGUUCUUGAACAAGCGCUUAUUGUGGCUUCACUAUCACCUCAAGCCGAUGCCCGAGUGCUAUCGCACUACGGUGUGAAAGACUAUGAGAGUAUUGUGUUUGAAAUAAGGAUUGAUAUAUAGGUGUGACGUAAAAAAUCGGGACCGUAAUUUUUGUUCGAACAAGCGAUUAUUUCGAAAUAACGAUAAUUGCGGGUAAACGGUGUUCGGAAUAGUGGUGUUUAAAUGUAAUAUUUUUUUAAUGCUAUAACAUUACUGGGUAAAAAAGUUUACCCAUGUGUGUCAUACGCACUUAUUAUUCAAACACAAAGUAAGCUGCAUAUCCCGCUUUAAUUAACAAUAGCAUUUGAUAAACAUGUUGACAAAUAUUAACACAUAUACUUGUUAGUUUGUCGAGUAACUAUUCGUUUUUUUAUUUUAUUGAAGCUGGUAUUGUUG